UACGAAGGACCCAAGCGUUAUCCGGAUUUAUUGGGUUUAAAGGGUGCGUAGGCGGAUUAUUAAGUCAGUGGUGAAAGCCUUCAGCUUAACUGAAGAACUGCCAUUGAUACUGAUGAUCUUGAGUAUGAUUGAGGUGGGCGGAAUGUGUCAUGUAGCGGUGAAAUGCUUAGAUAUGACACAGAACACCGAUUGCGAAGGCAGCUCACUAAGCCAUAACUGACGCUGAUGCACGAAAGCGUGGGGAGCAAACAGG
rnacentral:rRNA from 1 species